rnacentral:tRNA from 1 species
GGUUUGAUGGUCUAGUAGUAUGAUUCACCCUUAGGGUGGGUGAGGUCCCGCGGGUUCAAUUCCCGGUCAGACCC